CAGCAGCCGCGGGAAAACAGAGGGUGCAAGCGUUAAUCGGAAUUACUGGGCGUAAAGCGCGCGUAGGUGGUUUGUUAAGUUGGAUGUGAAAGCCCCGGGCUCAACCUGGGAACUGCAUCCAAAACUGGCAAGCUAGAGUACGGUAGAGGGUGGUGGAAUUUCCUGUGUAGCGGUGAAAUGCGUAGAUAUAGGAAGGAACACCAGUGGCGAAGGCGACCACCUGGACUGAUACUGACACUGAGGUGCGAAAGCGUGGGGAGCAAACAGGAUUAGAGACCCGUGUAGUCCCUGUCUCUUAUAA
rnacentral:rRNA from 1 species